UAGCAAAGUUUUCUUUGUGGUUUGCAUAGGGCUAUCAAUAUUAGACCUGCAUCUACCAGACCUCAAGGUCUUAGACAACAACAGCUGGCUGAUGGCCACCUCAGACCACGCAGAAAAGGUCUGGCAAGGCAGCUUCUGCUCCUGGGGAAAUUACAGAACGCACACUGCUCAGUGUAGUGUGGAAUUCAUCUUUCCCCCCAGGAUCCAAAUCAGGAUACCACCUUAAAUUUAACAUAAUGCCCUUAAAAAUGAAAAAGUCCGCAAGCCAUGUUAUCAUCUGGAUUUCAACAAAGAAAAGUGACUCCAGCAUGCAGAGUGGGAUCAACUUGCUCUACCAACUCUGGAUCUUCUGUCAUCUGGAAAUGACGGGGAUCUUGUACUCACGGGCAAUGCCUGCCUACUAUUAUCUUUGGAAUCAGCAUGUGAGGCCCCCUACAGGUGAGAACCAUACAACUGUACAACCCCACAUGUUCUCUUAAGCUCCCAUACUACCCCUUGUAGCAGGAACCAAGGAAAGGGAAACUCCAUCUGCACUCACGGCUCACAACUUUAUGUUUGAACCUCUUCUCCAACUGAUUCCUUGAACCCUGUUCU
rnacentral:lncRNA from 1 species